CCUACGGGGUGCAGCAGUAGGGAAUAUUGCUCAAUGGGGGAAACCCUGAAGCAGCAACGCCGCGUGGAGGAUGAAGGUUUUCGGAUUGUAAACUCCUUUUGUUAGAGAAGAUAAUGACGGUAUCUAACGAAUAAGCACCGGCUAACUCCGUGCCAGCAGCCGCGGUAAUACGGAGGGUGCAAGCGUUACUCGGAAUCACUGGGCGUAAGGAGCGCGUAGGCGGGAUAGCAAGUCAGAUGUGAAAUCCUAUGGCUUAACCAUAGAACUGCAUUUGAAACUGUUAUUCUAGAGUAUGGGAGAGGUAGGUGGAAUUCUUGGUGGAGGGGUAAAAUCCGUAGAGAUCAAGAGGAAUACUCAUUGCGAAGGCGACCUGCUAGAACAUAACUGACGCUGAUGCUCGAAAGCGUGGGGAGCAAACAGGAUUAGAUACCCUUGUAGUC
rnacentral:rRNA from 1 species